rnacentral:rRNA from 1 species
AAUGCGCGUCCUAGGCAUGCAAGUCGAGCGGUAGCACCCUAUUGGUUAUGCCAAUAGGUGUGAGAGCGGCGCACGGGUGAGUAACACGUAGGUAACCUACCCUAGAGAGGGGGAUAACACCUCGAAAGGGGUGCUAAACCCCCAUAUACUUACCGAGCGAGAUGCUGAGGUAAGGAAAGAGUAUGGAGGGGUAACCCUUCAUACUGCUCUGGGAUGGGCCUGCGGCCUAUCAGCUAGUUGGUGGGGUAAUGGCCCACCAAGGCUAAGACGGGUAGCCGGCCUGAGAGGGUGGUCGGCCACACUGGGACUGAGACACGGCCCAGACUCCUACGGGGGGCAGCAGCCGGGAAUCUUCCGCAAUGGGGGAAACCCUGACGGAGCGACGCCGCGUGAGGGAAGAAGCCCUUCGGGGUGUAAACCUCUUUUCCUGGGGAAGAAGCUGACGGUACCCAGGGAAUAAGCCCCGGCUAACUACGUGCCAGCAGCCGCGGUAAGACGUAGGGGGCGAGCGUUGUCCGGAUUUACUGGGCGUAAAGGGCGUGUAGGCGGCUUAGCAAGUCAGGUGUGGAAGCCCUGGGCUCAACCCAGGGAGUGCAUCUGAUACUGCUAAGCUAGAGGGCAGGAGAGGAGAGUGGAACUUCCGGUGUAGCGGUGAAAUGCGUAGAUAUCGGAAGGAACGCC